rnacentral:rRNA from 1 species
UGAAUUUCGGGGUUAUGGGUUUGGUCAUGCCUUGGUAUGUACUUCGACAUCCGCUCAGUCCUUCCUGAUGAACUGUAAUGCCAUUAAUUUGGUGUUGCAGGGAAUCUGGACUGUUACUUUGAAAAAAUUAGAGUGUUUAAAGCAGGCUAACGCUUGAAUACAUUAGCAUGGAAUAAUGAAAUAGGACGUUCGAUCCUAUUUUGUUGGUUUCUAGGAUUGACGUAAUGAUUAAUAGGGAUAGUUGGGGGCAUUAGUAUUCAAUUGUCAGAGGUGAAAUUCUUGGAUUUAUUGAAGACUAACUACUGCGAAAGCAUUUGCCAAGGAUGUUUUCAUUAAUCAAGAACGAAAGUUAGGGGAUCGAAGACGAUCAGAUACC